AGAGUUUGAUCAUGGCUCAGAACGAACGCUGGCGGCAGCCUAACACAUGCAAGUCGAGCGAGGACUUCGGUCCUAGCGCGGACGGGUGAGUAACGCGUGGGAACGUGCCCUUUGCUACGGAAUAGCCCUGGGAAACUGGGAGUAAUACCGUAUGUGCCCUUAGGGGAAAGAUUUAUCGGCAAAGGAUCGGCCCGCGUUGGAUUAGGUAGUUGGUGGGGUAACGGCCUACCAAGCCGACGAUCCAUAGCUGGUUUGAGAGGAUGAUCAGCCACACUGGGACUGAGACACGGCCCAGACUCCUACGGGAGGCAGCAGUGGGGAAUCUUAGACAAUGGGCGCCAAUGAUCUAGCCAUGCCGCGUGCAGUGAAGGCCUUAGGGUUGUAAAGCUCUUUCAGCGAGGAAGAUAAUGACUGUACUCGCAGAAGAAGCCCCGCUAACUCUGUGCCAGCAGCCGCGUAAUACGGAGGGGGCUAGCGUUGUUCGGAAUUACUGGGCGUAAAGCGCACGUAGGCGACUGGAAAGUCAGGGGUGAAAUCCCGGGGCUCAACCCCGAAACUGCCUUUGAAACUCCCAGUCUUGAGUUCGAGAGAGGUGAGUGGAAUUCCGAGUGUAGAGGUGAAAUUCGUAGAUAUUCGGAGGAACCCAGUGCGAGGGGCUCACUGCUCGAUACUGACGCUGAG
rnacentral:rRNA from 1 species